rfam:Triticum aestivum genome assembly, contig: Triticum_aestivum_CS42_TGACv1_scaffold_325700_4BL
UUUGUACUCCCCCCCGUCCCAAAAUUCUUGUCUUAAAUUUGUCUAAAUACGGAUGUAUCUAGUUACAUUUUAGUGUUAGAUACAUCCGUAUCUAAACAAAUGUAAGACAAGAAUUUUGGGACGGAGGGAAUACUAC